rnacentral:rRNA from 1 species
UUGGACCUGAUAUCAGGCAAGAUUACCCGCUGAACUUAAGCAUACAAAGGGGGGGAAAAAAAA